rnacentral:rRNA from 1 species
UGGGGAAUAUUGCGCAAUGGGCGAAAGCCUGACGCAGCCAUGCCGCGUGUGUGAAGAAGGCCUUCGGGUUGUAAAGCACUUUCAAUUGGGAAGAAAGGUUGCGUGUUAAUAGCACGUAGCUGUGACGUUACCUUUAGAAGAAGCACCGGCUAACUCCGUGCCAGCAGCCGCGGUAAUACGGAGGGUGCGAGCGUUAAUCGGAAUUACUGGGCGUAAAGCGCGCGUAGGCGGUUUGUUAAGUCGGAUGUGAAAUCCCCGGGCUCAACCUGGGAAUUGCAUUCGAUACUGGCCGACUAGAGUACGAGAGAGGGAGGUAGAAUUCCACGUGUAGCGGUGAAAUGCGUAGAUAUGUGGAGGAAUACCGGUGGCGAAGGCGGCCUCCUGGCUCGAUACUGACGCUGAGGUGCGAAAGCGUGGGUAGCAAACAGGAUUAGAUACCCUGGUAGUCCACGCCGUAAACGAUGUCUACUAGCCGUUGGGAGACUUGAUUUCUAGUGGCG